rnacentral:rRNA from 1 species
AUUGAACGCUGGCGGCAUGCUUUACACAUGCAAGUCGGACGAGUGGCGAACGGGUGAGUAAUAUAUUGGAACGUACCGAGUAAUGGGGGAUAACCAAUCGAAAGAAUGGCUAAUACCGCAUAAUAUGCGAGCGGCCAAUAUCUGAUUAGCUAGUUGGUGGGGUAAAGGUCUACCAAGGCGAAGAUCAUUAGCUGGUCUGAGAGGAUGAGCCGCCACACGGGGACUGAUACACGGCCCAGACUCCUACGGGAGGAAGCAGUGGGGAAUAUUGGACAAGGGGCGCAAGCCUGAGCCAGCCAUGCCGCGUGUCUGAAGAAGGCCUUCGGGUUGUAAAGGACUUUUGUUAGGGAAGCGGUACCUAAAGAAUAAGCACCGGCUAACUACGUGCCAGCAGCCGCGGUAAUUC